rnacentral:rRNA from 1 species
GACGAACGCUGGCGGCGUGCUUAACACAUGCAAGUCGAACGGAAAGGCCCUGCUUUUGUGGGGUGCUCGAGUGGCGAACGGGUGAGUAACACGUGAGUAACCUGCCCUUGACUUUGGGAUAACUUCAGGAAACUGGGGCUAAUACCGGAUAGGAGCUCCUGCUGCAUGGUGGGGGUUGGAAAGUUUCGGCGGUUGGGGAUGGACUCGCGGCUUAUCAGCUUGUUGGUGGGGUAGUGGCUUACCAAGGCUUUGACGGGUAGCCGGCCUGAGAGGGUGACCGGCCACAUUGGGACUGAGAUACGGCCCAGACUGCUACGGGAGGCAGCAGUGGGGAAUAUAGCACAAUGGGCGGAAGCCUGAUGCAGCAACGCCGCGUGCGGGAUGACGGCCUUCGGGUUGUAAACCGCUUUCGCCUGUGACGAAGCGUGAGUGACGGUAAUGGGUAAAGAAGCACCGGCUAACUACGUG